CACGGGGGGAGCAAGCGUUGUCCGGAAUCAUUGGGCGUAAAGCGCGUGUAGGCGGCCCGGUAAGUCCGCUGUGAAAGUCCAGGGCUCAACCCUGGGAUGCCGGUGGAUACUGUCGGGCUCGAGUCCGGAAGAGGCGAGUGGAAUUCCCGGUGUAGCGGUGAAAUGCGCAGAUAUCGGGAGGAACACCUAUGGCGAAGGCAGCUCGCUGGGACGUUACUGACGCUGAGACGCGAAAGCGUGGGGAGCAAACAGG
rnacentral:rRNA from 1 species